AUUGAACGCUGGCGGCAGGCCUAACACAUGCAAGUCGAGCGAGCGGCGGACGGGUGAGUAAUGUCUGGGAAACUGCCUGAUGGAGGGGGAUAACUACUGGAAACGGUAGCUAAUACCGCAUACCAUCAGAUGUGCCCCGAUGGGAUUAGCUAGUAGGUGGGGUAACGGCUCACCUAGGCGACGAUCCCUAGCUGGUCUGAGAGGCUGACCAGCCACACUGGAACUGAGACACGGUCCAGCCUCCUACGGGAGGCAGCAGUGGGGAAUUUGGGACAAUGGGCGCAAGCCUGAUGCAGCCAUGCCGCGUGUGUGAAGAAGGCCUUCGGGUUGUAAAGCACUUUCAGCGGGAAGGCGUUACCCGCAGAAGAAGCACCGGCUAAAUCCGUGCCAGCAGCCGCGGUAAUUC
rnacentral:rRNA from 1 species